GCUUGCUAAUAAUUCUCUAGUGGCGCACGGGUGAGUAACACGUGAGUACCUGCCCCCAAGAGUGGGAUAGCCCCGGGAAACUGGGAUUAAUACCGCAUAAAGCAAUAAAGCAGCAAUGCGCUUGGGGAUGGGCUCGCGUCCUAUUAGUUAGUUGGUGAGGUAACGGCUCACCAAGGCGAUGACGGGUAGCCGGUCUGAGAGGAUGUCCGGCCACACUGGAACUGAGACACGGUCCAGACACCUACGGGUGGCAGCAGUCGAGAAUCAUUCACAAUGGGGGAAACCCUGAUGGUGCGACGCCGCGUGGGGGAUAAGGUCUUCGGAUUGUAAACCCCUGUCAUGUGGGACAUUAAAAGAUAGUACCACAAGAGGAAGAGACGGCUAACUCUGUGCCAGCAGCCGCGGUAAUACAGAGGUCUCAAGCGUUGUUCGGAAUCACUGGGCGUAAAGCGUGCGUAGGCGGUUUCGUAAGUCGUGUGUGAAAGGCGGGGGCUCAACCCCCGGACUGCACAUGAUACUGCGAGACUAGAGUAAUGGAGGGGGAACCGGAAUUCUCGGUGUAGCAGUGAAAUGCGUAGAUAUCGAGAGGAACACUCGUGGCGAAGGCGG
rnacentral:rRNA from 1 species